AACCCAUUGUUACAUUAUUAGACGGAAAGACCCCAAGAGCUUUUUUUGUGUUAGAUUUGUUUGGGGUAAAUGUAGAUUAUUCAUUUAUUUUCAGAUCCUUCGUGGAUAAAGGAUAAAGUUACCUUGGGGAUAACUGAGUAAAGGGCAGGGAGAGGUCCUAUUGAUCUGUUUAUUACUACCUCGAUGUUGGCUUGUUGAACCUUUUCGGUGUAGAGGCUGGAAAAGGAAGUCUGUUCGACUUUUAAAUCUUCAUGAGUUGAGUUAAGACCGGUGUAAGCCAGGUUGGUUCUUAUCUAUAAUUGGUUCUAAUUAGUACGAAAGGAUUAUUAGGAUACAGUGUUUCUGUACAUAUAGGAAUAGGAGGUAUACA
rnacentral:rRNA from 1 species